rnacentral:rRNA from 1 species
UACGUAGGGUGCGAGCGUUAAUCGGAAUUACUGGGCGUAAAGCGUGCGCAGGCGGUUAUGUAAGACAGGUGUGAAAUCCCCGGGCUUAACCUGGGAACUGCAUUUGUGACUGCAUAGCUAGAGUACGGUAGAGGGGGAUGGAAUUCCGCGUGUAGCAGUGAAAUGCGUAGAGAUGUGGAGGAAUACCGAUGGCGAAGGCAGCCCCCUGGGAUAACACUGACGCUCAUGCACGAAAGCGUGGGGAGCAAACAGG